UUUUUUAAUUGAAGACUGGGAUGAAAGAUAAAAACUUAGAGGAGUGUUUUAUUUAAUAAUUUUAAAAUUUAAUUAAAAGUAAAAAUGCUUUUGUAAUUCUUUGGGACGAGAAGACCCUAGAAGCUUUAUUUUAAUAUAUUUAAGCAUUUUGUUUUAAAAAUAUUUUUAGUUGGGGUAAUACUUGAAGAUAUAAAUUUUUAAGCAAAAAAGGAGAAGAGAGGAAGUUACUCUAGGGAUAACAGAGUAAUUUAAUUUAAGAGUUCUUAUUAAUAAUUAAGAUUGCUACCUCGAUGUUGAAUUAAAA
rnacentral:rRNA from 1 species